rnacentral:rRNA from 1 species
CACGGGGGGAGCAAGCGUUGUUCGGAAUCACUGGGCGUAAAGGGCGUGUAGGCGGUCAGGUAAGUGAGAUGUGAAACGCCUCGGCUCACCCGAGGACCUGCAUCUCAAACUGCCUGGCUUGAGUAUGGGAGAGGAUGAGGGAAUUCCUGGUGUAGCGGUGAAAUGCGUAGAUAUCAGGAGGAACACCGGUGGCGAAGGCGGCAUCCUGGACCGGCAUUGACGCUGAGGCGCGAAAGCCAGGGGAGCAAACGGG